CGUGCUGGCUCGCAGCGCCUUCUGCACACACGCAGACAAAGGCGUCCUUAGAGAAAGCCGGGGUUUGAGGCCAGGCCCCCCUGCAGUACUUCCUGGGUAGCCAUGGGCGUGUGAGAGAUGGUCACUAGGUGAGCAGGGCAGGCUGUUUGGUCCCCUGGAGUCUCGUGUUCACGUCUCAGAUGGGGAGCUGACCUUGUAGGACCGAGCGCGCCAGUGUGGGGGCUGGCACACCCCCACCUGCUAGAAUCAAGCUCUGUGCCCUGUGACCUUCACCUCACCUCACUGCUACCCCUCCGCUUAACACCACAUUGAACAAUUCCAGAAGCUUACAAAUAUAUUCCACACGGUUUGCUACAGUGCCAGCUUUCCCUCCAGGCAUCCAUUGAAACGGAGCACUGGAAGGUAGGGCCACGACCCUGCUAAGGGUGACAGGUUUCCCAGAGCCGUCUUACGGGGUGAAGGGCAGCGAUGGAUGCCCGCCCCCCACGCCUGUUGGAGGGGACAAAGGCCUAGGCGUUCUGUGCCCCAAGCCAGUGUGACCUGGACUUCAUAAUCAAUGGAGAGCAGUCUCGCCAACUGACCCAUACGGGGGGCGGGGCUAGACCAUGCUGAAAGUGGGGAGACUUUCCUUGCCUCGGUUUCCCUACAGUGUCCCCAAGGAAACCAGCAUAUCACAAUACUCACUUACACCACCACCUCCAUUGAUGUCCAGGGGUACCCAACCCCGUGACCACCCCUUCUGCAGUGAAGGGGCCUACGCGGACGUGGCUGGAGUGGCAGAACUGGUGACCCCCCUCCCACGUGAUUGGGAUGUGAUGGCCGCUUCCCGGACCCCCGGGGACCCUGCCAGCCCGUCCCCAGCCAGGCACCCGCUGCGGCGGCCCAGCUCCACACCGAGCCU